GUUAAAUUCAUUUUCUCGUAUAAGUGCAAGAAUGGGCUUGCAUGUCUCUACCUGAUCACCGGAAUGAUCGGACUACGGGAAAC
rnacentral:ncRNA from 1 species